UCCAAAACAAUUUUCGGUUUGUGGCCAUCUG
rnacentral:piRNA from 1 species